GAUGAAGAACGUAGCGAAAUGCGAUAAGUAAUGUGAAUUGCAGAAUUCAGUGAAUCAUCGAAUCUUUGAACGCACAUUGCGCCCCCUGGUAUUCCGGGGGGCAUGCCUGUUCGAGCGUCAUUACAACCCUCAGGCCCCCGGGCCUGGCGUUGGGGAUCGGCGGAGCCCCCCGUGGGCACACGCCGUCCCCCAAAUGCAGUGGCGGUCCCGCCGCAGCUUCCAUCGCGUAGUAGCUAACACCUCGCGACUGGAGAGCGGCGCGGCCACGCCGUAAAACACCCAACUCUUCUGAAGUUGACCUCGAAUCAGGUAGGAAUACCCGCUGAACUUAAGCAUAUCAAUAAGCGGAGGA
rnacentral:misc_RNA from 1 species